rnacentral:rRNA from 1 species
GGUUGCGAUCAUACCAGCACUAAUGCACCGGAUCCCAUCAGAACUCCGCAGUUAAGCGUGCUUGGGCGGGAGUAGUACUAGGAUGGGUGACCCCCUGGGAAGUCCUCGUGUUGCAACCC